rnacentral:rRNA from 1 species
GAUUUCUGACUUGGUGCGCCUGGCCCGCCACGGUUACGUGUGUGAGUGCUGGGUCGCGCCUGUCAUCCUUCUAGAGAACGUCUCUACUCUUCAUUGAGCCGGAGGCGCAAUCUAGAUCUUUUACUUUGAAAAAAUUAGAGUGUUUAAAGCAGGCUUUUGCUAUGAAUACAUUAGCAUGGAAUAAUAAUUUAGGACUUCGGUUCUAUUUUGUUGGUUUCUAGGACUGAAGUAAUGAUUGAUAGGGAUAGUUGGGGGUGCUAGUAUUCAGCGGCCAGAGGUGAAAUUCUCGGAUUCGCUGAAGACUAACUUAUGCGAAAGCAUU